CUCCCCAGGCUCGACGGCUCCGUUGGUUGAUUCUGAUUCGUCUCCUGUUGGCUGUUGCCUUCGACCGCCUCCACCUCGUCUCCGACGAUGUCCUCCGUCGCCGGUGAGGGGGAAGGAGAGGGAGGAGGACGGCGCCGACGGGAGGAGCCAAGGAGCCAACAACAUGAGGACGGGGUCGAGGUGGCCGACGGAAAACUGGAUUUGGGUGACCUUUACGGCGCGGCGGCGGGGUGGGUAGAGGCGCGGACCAGCUGCCCGCACCUCGGCACCAUGCCGCCCGCUGGUGCUGAAUUGCUGAUGACCUUGCUCGCGUGCCUCCGCCCGACUCUCCGUGCUCCAGAUGUCAUGACCCUGCUGAAAACUGAUUAUGCUUGAUAUGCAAAGAUGUGAUGUGCAGUCGUUUUAUCAACAAACAUAUGUUGUGCCAUCAUGAAGAAGAAACUGGUCACUGUCUUGCUUUGAGCUUCAGUGAUCUUUCAGUUUGGUGUUUCUCAUGUGACUCGUACCUAGAUGUUCAAGCCAUUUUAGAAUUGCGCCCAAGUUGCACAUUUGUUGAAGUUUGGAGAACACCUUUUCAAUCACUUGAAGUACUGGAUUUCAGCACUGGUGAAAGUGGAAGUUCAUCAAGGACUUAGUUGUUUGUAUUCAAGUGAUGAGUUUCUUUUCAUGAUGCUUCAAUCAGAUCAAGACAGACAGUUGUGUAGUAUCCUGGCACUUUUUAAGCUUCAGUGCGAUAUAAUUCAUUUGAGAAGCCCUUGUUCUUUUCCUUUUUACCUUCAGUUAGUAUAUUUCAAUAACCCAAAGCUUCCUUAGAUAGUUAUCACGACAGGUGUAAAUCCCUGUGCACCAUAGGAGAUUUGAAGGCAUUAUUAUUGCUUUGAUAUGGACAUCCAGAAAAAAUAUUCAACUUCGAAUA